rnacentral:rRNA from 1 species
GACGAACGCUGGCGGCGUGCUUAACACAUGCAAGUCGAACGGAAAGGCCCUGCUUUUGUGGGGUGCUCGAGUGGCGAACGGGUGAGUAACACGUGAGUAACCUGCCCUUGACUUUGGGAUAACUUCAGGAAACUGGGGCUAAUACCGGAUAGGAGCUCCUGCUGCAUGGUGGGGGUUGGAAAGUUUCGGCGGUUGGGGAUGGACUCGCGGCUUAUCAGCUUGUUGGUGGGGUAGUGGCUUACCAAGGCUUUGACGGGUAGCCGGCCUGAGAGGGUGACCGGCCACCUUGGGACUGAGAUACGGCCCAGACUCCUCCGGGAGGCAGCAGUGGGGAAUAUUGCACCCUGGGCGGAAGCCUGAUGCAGCAACGCCGCGUGCGGGAUGACGGCCUUCGGGUUGUAAACCGCUUUCGCCUGUGACGAAGCGUGAGUGACGGUAAUGGGUAAAGAAGCACCGGCUAACUACGUG